ensembl:lncRNA
AUGCCUCUCCUUAGAUGCUUAACGUGGAUAGCAGCAUGCGACCAAUUCAUAAUGAUUGCUAAACAUAUUCCAGGUUCAGAAAAUCAAAUUGCUGACUCUGUCUCGCUUUCUGUUCCAGAAAUUCAGGAUGCUGGUUCCAGAGGCGGACCAAUUCCCCACUCCAGUACCUCACUAUUCAGAAUUAAUAUUCCCGUAACCCACCCAUUUAAACCCCUCCUCGAGGCAUCACUAGACACUAUCCUCCAAGCAGUUGCUCCUAGAACCCUCCAGUCAUACGUGACGGCGUGGAGAUGCUUUAGAGCAUUCCACCUAUCAUACAACAUACUGUUCCCCGAUUUUUCCCUACUUACCAUCACCUCAUUCAUAUCCUAUCUCAACAGCGUUAAAGGUCUCCAGAUCGGGUCCAUCAAAGGUUAUCUGAGCGGUGUCCAGUUUUUUCACAAACUGAUGUUCGGUGCUCCCUCACCCGAAAUUAAUAAUUCUCAAACCUCCCUUCUGAUUAGGGGAAUCCAGCGAUCCCAGCCCACCCAUCCUGACUCCAGGCAACCCAUAACACUAGACAUCCUCACAAAAUGUAUUCACACGCUCCGCACUCGUUACCAACCGCUCAGUACAGCCCGUACUCUCGACGCCAUGUUUAUUCUAGCUUUUUUCGGUUUUCUUAGAUGCUCAGAACUAACCAUCUCUUCUAAAUUCGAUCCAAAAAUCAACCCCACCAUCUCAGACCUAACCAUACUUGAUAGGGAAACAAUCUCAUUCCUAAUCAAACAAAGCAAAACAGACCAAGCCAAGAAAGGUCAUUUUAUCUACAUCUUUAAGCUUUCUUCUCCAAUCCAACCAUACCAGUCCAUCUUCGAGUACCUCCGCCUUAGAAAUUCUCAGACUCAAUUCCCCCACGAACCACUAUUUUUAGACGACUCCAUAAAACCUGUCACUCGUUUCUGGUUCCAAAAGCAUCUAAAAUCCGUCCUGCAAUUAUCAGGUAUCCCAGCAGGGAAUUUCUCUAGCCACUCUUUUCGCAUUGGGGCAGCAACAUCAGCAGCCCAAAAAGGUCUCAAAACAGCAGAUCCAAACGCUAGGAAGAUGGUCAUCAGAAGCAUACCAAAGCUACAUCAGAACCAACCAAUUUCACAUUAA